UGUCAGCAAGGUAUGUUGCCAUGAUAAAAUCAUGCUCAACGACAAAAGCUGUUUUCUUUGCAUGAAGGAUAAACCUUUUUAUGACCUUGGCUGCAAGAAAGCGCUGCUCUGAAUCAAGAUGUGCACUUGGUUCAUCUAUGAGGUGGCAAUCCAAAGAGAACUUCUGUACCAGUAAAUCUGAGAGAAAGAAUGUAUGGGGAGUAAUUUAGUGUACUCUUACCUUUCCGAGACAAAGACAAAGUGCAACCCUUUGUAACUCCCCGCCAGAAAGAUUUGAAACCUGCCUGUCCAUGAGUUCUUCGAUUUUCAGUGGUUUCAUGACAUCAGAUCUGAACUGUGCUUGAUUGCAAGAUCCAGGUAUUUUCUUCUGUAGAAGCUCUCUCACGGUAGAGCUAAUCUUGGAUAUCAGUUCCUGAGGUUUGUAUGAGACUGUACACGCAGGCAUAUCGACUUCUUCAUCCCCCACUUUAUCUGGCUUCACUUGUCCCGCCUGAUACUCAGAUGAAAACCAAAGAUGAGAGACUCUAUAAUCAUUUCUUCGGUCGCUGUAAAAAAACAUAUUUGAAGAACAAGGAGAUUACCAGCAUACGGAUGAAUGUUGUCUUCCCA